AUCACCUGAGGAUCUUGUUAAAAUGCAGAUUCUGAUUCAGCAGGUCCUGGGGCAAGGCCCAAGAGUCUGCAUUUCUCACAGGCUCUCAGGUGAGGCUGC
rnacentral:pre_miRNA from 1 species